CGCAGCAACUGGAAGGUGUUGCUGCAGAGUGAAGAUGUUUCGGAUCGAGGGCCUUGCACCGAAGCUGGACCCUGAAGAAAUGAAACGGAAGAUGCGCGAGGAUGUGAUUUCCUCCGUACGGAACUUCCUCAUCUACGUAGCCCUGCUGCGAGUCACUCCAUUUAUCUUGAAGAAAUUGGAC